AUCGAUGCCUCCUGCCCACAGCAGAUCAUUCUCCGCCGCCCUCCCAGCGAUCUGCGGCCGAUCCCUGCGGAGCUUCCCUCCCCAAUACGAUCUGACGGAGAGAGUGCCAGAUCCGGCCGGGGGAGCCGCCGUAGAGCCUCCACGUCGGUGGAGCAGCACCUCAUGCCACGGGCGCCGCCGCCACCUCCUGCCUCACGACCCUUUGCCGCGACUCCGCCCCCAAGCGCCGCUCCCGCACGCAAUCCGAACCCUAUCCCGCCAUGCUUUGCUGCCUCGCCGCUUGAGCCGCGCUGAUGGAGCCCGAGCAGGCGGUGGCCGACCCCGUCGCCGCCGCCGAGCCUGUGGACGAGGAGAAGGAGAAGGAGGAGGAGACAGAGGCGGCCGAGGACGAGGAGGACACGCUGCUGGACCGCGCGCAGCCUGAUCUCACGGGUCCCUUUGCACACGUGCAGGUACAAACCAUCCUCAUCCAAAAUCGUGUUUUCCGCUCUGAUUUGCCAUGCUAAUGUGGUUUCAGACUUGCCCAAUAUGUGAUACUGUGUUUUGCAGUUCGUCAAUGGACCAAUGCCUAAUCUCCCCAAGGUUGAUGUUUCACUGGACCCGGUGAAGGAGUUGAGCAGAGUAAUAUCUGAGCGAAAAAAUUGAGGGGCGUGCUUUGGUUGUGCUCUCAGCCAGGUUAUUUUACGAGGGUUGUGUGCACUGAACCCCAUUUCUCUGGACCAAGGGACGAUGAACAAGAUGGGAAUGAGGAGGAUGCUACUAAUCCGGAGUAGUAAUAUUGGAUUACAGGUCAUGGGUUAACUAAUACAUGCAUCAGCUUUGUAUCAUAAAGAUUUCACCAUCCCAAGGUAAUGGAAAUAAGUUCACAAGAUUCUCAUGUUGAGGUCUGUACAAAGAGAUACAAGGCAAUGUCUGUGUGCUGGAAGGAGAAACUCACUGCCAAAGCUAUAAUCCCUGAUGCUAAAGCCUGCAUGUUCAGAUCUGCAGAGUUUACUCAUAUUACUGUAUGAAUGAUUAAUACAGAGGGAGCCCUUUUGUCAGGUCAUUUAAUCAUUAAAUCAUACGUACAUUAUCUCAGGUAACUUACUACUACCUUUGUUCGAAAAUAAGUGCCGUUAACUUAGUACACCUUUGCACUAAAAUUGUACUAAAUCCGUGACACUUAUUUUGGGACAGAGGGAGUAUUUCAUUUUCUACCUGAACCAAGUUGUUAUUUCAUUUCUAAGAGGCAAAGAGUUCCUCAUGGUUAGUUUGCCACAUUUUAUAUGUCUAUCUAUGUGCAUUACUAAUUCACUAUAUGCACCUUUAGUUCCCAGUUUUGGCUCACUUUCUUGAUGCAUCUCGGAUGAGAGGAAAGGAAUGGAUAAUCUGACAAGCAAUGUUUGAGCAUACCCUUAUAUUUACGUCUGAUGAAAUGCUGCGGGUGCAAACUAAUUUAGACUGCUGCCAUGAGCAAAAGAGCAGACAUUACUUAUGAGAAAACAAUAAAAGAAUCUUCCGUGACUACAUACCACGACGAGUCAAAGACGAUGAAAGCACUACUCCAUUGGUGGUGUUAGCAAGUGGAGUCUGGAGGGAGAACAACACAAAGUAGGAAAUUGAUUCCCUCGCCCUUGCUUGCUUCAACGACCCCGUCCGUCUUGGUGGGGUCGAUUCCCCCAUCGCCCGACUCAUCUCCGACGAGUAUGGCGUCAGUGGGUACGCCCCGCCGUUCGUAUGCUUGGCGGUCCCAGAACACCCGUGACGUGUAUGAGCUUGACUAGGGCGAGCGGCUCGUGCUCGUGCUUGAGCUCGACAAGACGCACUUCGAUCUCGUCACCAACUACGAGCUGGACUGUGAGACUCCAGAGCAGGCGGGGGCGACGAAGACGAAAGUGGGGGCAGUUCGAGCUUGUCGCCGCCGGAGACCCUGGAGAGGUGCGCGAAGAGACCUGGUUAGAUUUGUUGGCCACCACUGGUAAACUGCACUAAUAACAAAUCGGAUGUCAUCUCUCAUGUUGCCGAUUCAACCCUGGACGAUGUUGCGCGGCCAUGGACGAUGUGCUGUUGGACAACGACGCGAGGCCGAGGCAGCCAAUGUGAAUGACCACUGGAAAUCAUUUACCUUUCAAUCUUGGAAGGCCCUAAGCUGAAGGAGAGCAUCAAUUGUCAUGAGAGAUAAGCAAUAUCUAUUAGACACGCAUACUAUCAGGCUAACGCAAACCACUCGGGAAUGAAGAACUUACUUCCCAACAAGGAAAGUCCAGUGAUUGGGCAACAACAUGUGGAAGGAUAAUUACUGGAUACUUUUUUUAGCGAACAACUGUGGAGCGAUUUGCUGUCUCAAAACAUGUAAGUUGUGAUGCCCUCUCUGGAAUCGAAUGACUAAUUCGUAAAACAGGAUCGGGUUCUACAAUUUUAUCAAAAUUAAUUUGGCACUACAAAAACAUUUGUCAUUUCAUCUAGGAAUAUUUUUAAAUAGUUAAUAAAUCAUACAGACUUGAUAUUUUCUUGGUCUCAUGCAACUUUGUGUUGUUUCUUAUUUUACUCAACAAUCAUUUGUGGCAAUUAUGAGUUGUUUUUCGCCAUUCGUACACUAUCCCUUAAUUUUACUACGAAUAUAUGAAAGUACACACCUAGGGGUUUGCAAAAAUUAAAAAAACUAGGACAUAAGCACGAGUCACCUUAUGAGGUGAUGAUGUAGGAGACACAAUGAGGUGAAAGAGAUGUGAUGGACAUAGAAGAGUAAACCCAUGAGGACAAAGAGAUGUGAUGCACAUAGAAGGAGGAAGCAAGGACCUCGAUCCACAUUAUUGAAGACAUAGAUAAGAACAAGAGUAUCACACUUCACACAUCAACCAAUCAAUGACACAUGUUGGUAUUGGGGCAUAUCGCCCUCCCUUGCAUUAUACCUGUUAAUAUUAAGAUGAAACACUUAGUUGGAUGCAUUUCUCUUAUAUUGUUCUAUGGCAACACCCGAGCAUUCUGCUAGAGAAGAUGCUCAGGUGUAGACAGAAUCAUAUAUUAUAUUAUUAUCAUUAGUAUCAACAUAUUUGUAAAUGUUUUCAUACUCAAUCUAUGAGGUUAGAUUCAACACGAGAUCUAAAGUUUUGCGUGAAGCCAAA